rfam:Valsa mali var. pyri strain SXYL134 unplaced genomic scaffold scaffold00106, whole genome shotgun sequence.
GGUCCCGUAGCUCAGCUGGUUAGAGCGUCGUACUAAUAAUUCCUGAAUGGGAAUCAUUAGUGAUGCGAAGGUCGCGAGUUCGAUCCUCUCCGGGACCA